AUGAAAAUCAGUGGUUGGAAGGAAAAGUUGCUAUCAGCAGGAGGAAAGGAAAUCCUUCUCAAAUCGGUUGUACAAGCUAUCCCAACUUAUGCAAUGUCCGUCUUUAAAAUUCCUAAAAAGAUUUGUAAAGGAAUCAUUGACGCGAUGUCGCAUUUUUGGUGGGGUGACGAAGAUAAUCAGAAGAGAAUGCAUUGGAUGGCAUGGUGGAAGAUGUGUGUACCAAAAGAACAAGGAGGAAUGGGUUUUCGAGACAUACAUUGUUUCAAUCAGGCCUUGUUAGCCAAACAAGCGUGGCGCCUGCUUGAUAAUCCUGAUUCCCUAUGUGCCACCAUUUUGAGAGCUAAAUAUUUUCCAGAUGGAGAUUUA
rnacentral:rRNA from 1 species